GACGAACGCUGGCGGCGUGCUUAACACAUGCAAGUCGAACGGAAAGGCCCUGCUUUUGUGGGGUGCUCGAGUGGCGAACGGGUGAGUAACACGUGAGUAACCUGCCCUUGACUUUGGGAUAACUUCAGGAAACUGGGGCUAAUACCGGAUAGGAGCUCCUGCUGCAUGGUGGGGGUUGGAAAGUUUCGGCGGUUGGGGAUGGACUCGCGGCUUAUCAGCUUGUUGGUGGGGUAGUGGCUUACCAAGGCUUUGACGGGUAGCCGGCCUGAGAGGGUGACCGGCCACAUUGGGACUGAGAUACGGCCCAGACUCCUACGGGAGGCAGCAGUGGGGAAUAUUGCACAAUGGGCGGAAGCCUGAUGCAGCAACGCCGCGUGCGGGAUGACGGCCUUCGGGUUGUAAACCGCUUUCGCCUGUGACGAAGCGUGAGUGACGGUAAUGGGUAAAGAAGCACCGGCUAACUACGUGCCAGCAGCCGCGGUGAUACGUAGGGUGCGAGCGUUGUCCGGAUUUAUUGGGCGUAAAGGGCUCGUAGGUGGUUGAUCGCGUCGGAAGUGUAAUCUUGGGGCUUAACCCUGAGCGUGCUUUCGAUACGGGUUGACUUGAGGAAGGUAGGGGAGAAUGGAAUUCCUGGUGGAGCGGUGGAAUGCGCAGAUAUCAGGAGGAACACCAGUGGCGAAGGCGGUUCUCUGGGCCUUUCCUGACGCUGAGGAGCGAAAGCGUGGGGAGCGAACAGGCUUAGAUACCCUGGUAGUCCACGCUGUAAACGGUGGGUACUAGGUGUGGGGUCCAUUCCACGGGUUCCGUGCCGUAGCUAACGCUUUAAGUACCCCGCCUGGGGAGUACGGCCGCAAGGCUAAAAUUCAAAGGAAUUGACGGGGCCCCGCACAAGCGGCGGAGCAUGCGGAUUAAUUCGAUGCAACGCGUAGAACCUUACCUGGGUUUGACAUGGAUCGGGAGUGCUCAGAGAUGGGUGUGCCUCUUUUGGGGUCGGUUCACAGGUGGUGCAUGCCUGUCGUCAGCUCGUGUCGUGAGAUGUUGGGUUAAGUCCCGCAACGAGCGCAACCCUUGUUCACUGUUGCCAGCACGUUAUGGUGGGGACUCAGUGGAGACCGCCGGGGUCAACUCGGAGGGAGGUGGGGAUGACGUCAAGUCAUCAUGCCCCUUAUGUCCAGGGCUUCACGCAUGCUACAAUGGCUGGUACAGAGAGUGGCGAGCCUGUGAGGGUGAGCGAAUCUCGGAAAGCCGGUCUCAGUUCGGAUUGGGGUCUGCAACUCGACCUCAUGAAGUCGGAGUCGCUAGUAAUCGCAGAUCAGCAACGCUGCGGUGAAUACGUUCCCGGGGCU
rnacentral:rRNA from 1 species